rnacentral:rRNA from 1 species
AGACCUACGGGGCGCAGCAGUGGGGGAUAUUGCACAAUGGGGGAAACCCUGAUGCAGCGACGCCGCGUGGGCGAAGAAGUAUUUCGGUAUGUAAAGCCCUAUCAGCAGGGAAGAAGAAAUGACGGUACCCGAGUAAGAAGCACCGGCUAACUCCGUGCCAGCAGCCGCGGUAAUACGGAGGGUGCAAGCGUUGUCCGGAAUCAUUGGGCGUAAAGAGUUCGGAGGCGGUAUGAUAAGUAUGGUGUUAAAGGCAGAAGAGCA